UAAGUUGUAAAGAAGAGGAACAGUAUCUUUAAGUCCUGUGCAGAGAGAAGACGGUCGGUGCAAGUCUUUCAUGGAAUUUGAGGAGAACCCGCCUUGGAGCAACACGGGUUUCAAGCCCUUAUCUUGUCGAGGUGAACCGUUGACGGUUUAUAAGAGUGGUACCGCGGAAGUGAAUGUCUUUCGUCUCUUUG
rnacentral:ncRNA from 1 species